rnacentral:rRNA from 1 species
UUAAGUUAUUAAGGGCGCACGGUGGAUGCCUUGGCACUAGAAGCCGAUGAAGGACGUUACUAACGACGAUAUGCUUUGGGGAGCUGUAAGUAAGCUUUGAUCCAGAGAUUUCCGAAUGGGGAAACCCAGCAUGAGUUAUGUCAUGUUAUCGAUAUGUGAAUACAUAGCAUAUCAGAAGGCACACCCGGAGAACUGAAACAUCUUAGUACCCGGAGGAAGAGAAAGAAAAUUCGAUUCCCUUAGUAGCGGCGAGCGAAACGGGAAGAGCCCAAACCAACAAGCUUGCUUGUUGGGGUUGUAGGACACUCUAUACGGAGUUACAAAGGACGACAUUAGACGAAUCAUCUGGAAAGAUGAAUCAAAGAAGGUAAUAAUCCUGUAGUCGAAAAUGUUGUCUCUCUUGAGUGGAUCCUGAGUACGACGGAGCACGUGAAAUUCCGUCGGAAUCUGGGAGGACCAUCUCCUAAGGCUAAAUACUCUCUAGUGACCGAUAGUGAACCAGUACCGUGAGGGAAAGGUGAAAAGCACCCCGGAAGGGGAGUGAAAUAGAACCUGAAACCGUGUGCUUACAAGUAGUCAGAGCCCGUUAAUGGGUUAAUGGCGUGCCUUUUGUAGAAUGAACCGGCGAGUUACGAUUUGAUGCAAGGUUAAGCAGUAAAUGUGGAGCCGUAGCGAAAGCGAGUCUGAAUAGGGCGUUUAGUAUUUGGUCGUAGACCCGAAACCAGGUGAUCUACCCUUGGUCAGGUUGAAGUUCAGGUAACACUGAAUGGAGGACCGAACCGACUUACGUUGAAAAGUGAGCGGAUGAACUGAGGGUAGCGGAGAAAUUCCAAUCGAACCUGGAGAUAGCUGGUUCUCUCCGAAAUAGCUUUAGGGCUAGCCUCAAGUGAUGAUUAUUGGAGGUAGAGCACUGUUUGGACGAGGGGCCCCUCUCGGGUUACCGAAUUCAGACAAACUCCGAAUGCCAAUUAAUUUAACUUGGGAGUCAGAACAUGGGUGAUAAGGUCCGUGUUCGAAAGGGAAACAGCCCAGACCACCAGCUAAGGUCCCAAAAUAUAUGUUAAGUGGAAAAGGAUGUGGCGUUGCCCAGACAACUAGGAUGUUGGCUUAGAAGCAGCCAUCAUUUAAAGAGUGCGUAAUAGCUCACUAGUCGAGUGACACUGCGCCGAAAAUGUACCGGGGCUAAACAUAUUACCGAAGCUGUGGAUUGUCCUUUGGACAAUGGUAGGAGAGCGUUCUAAGGGCGUUGAAGCAUGAUCGUAAGGACAUGUGGAGCGCUUAGAAGUGAGAAUGCCGGUGUGAGUAGCGAAAGACGGGUGAGAAUCCCGUCCACCGAUUGACUAAGGUUUCCAGAGGAAGGCUCGUCCGCUCUGGGUUAGUCGGGUCCUAAGCUGAGGCCGACAGGCGUAGGCGAUGGAUAACAGGUUGAUAUUCCUGUACCACCUAUAAUCGUUUUAAUCGAUGGGGGGACGCAGUAGGAUAGGCGAAGCGUGCGAUUGGAUUGCACGUCUAAGCAGUAAGGCUGAGUAUUAGGCAAAUCCGGUACUCGUUAAGGCUGAGCUGUGAUGGGGAGAAGACAUUGUGUCUUCGAGUCGUUGAUUUCACACUGCCGAGAAAAGCCUCUAGAUAGAAAAUAGGUGCCCGUACCGCAAACCGACACAGGUAGUCAAGAUGAGAAUUCUAAGGUGAGCGAGCGAACUCUCGUUAAGGAACUCGGCAAAAUGACCCCGUAACUUCGGGAGAAGGGGUGCUCUUUAGGGUUAACGCCCAGAAGAGCCGCAGUGAAUAGGCCCAAGCGACUGUUUAUCAAAAACACAGGUCUCUGCUAAACCGUAAGGUGAUGUAUAGGGGCUGACGCCUGCCCGGUGCUGGAAGGUUAAGAGGAGUGGUUAGCUUCUGCGAAGCUACGAAUCGAAGCCCCAGUAAACGGCGGCCGUAACUAUAACGGUCCUAAGGUAGCGAAAUUCCUUGUCGGGUAAGUUCCGACCCGCACGAAAGGCGUAACGAUUUGGGCACUGUCUCAACGAGAGACUCGGUGAAAUCAUAGUACCUGUGAAGAUGCAGGUUACCCGCGACAGGACGGAAAGACCCCGUGGAGCUUUACUGUAGCCUGAUAUUGAAAUUCGGCACAGCUUGUACAGGAUAGGUAGGAGCCUUUGAAACGUGAGCGCUAGCUUACGUGGAGGCGCUGGUGGGAUACUACCCUAGCUGUGUUGGCUUUCUAACCCGCACCACUUAUCGUGGUGGGAGACAGUGUCAGGCGGGCAGUUUGACUGGGGCGGUCGCCUCCUAAAAGGUAACGGAGGCGCUCAAAGGUUCCCUCAGAAUGGUUGGAAAUCAUUCAUAGAGUGUAAAGGCAUAAGGGAGCUUGACUGCGAGACCUACAAGUCGAGCAGGGUCGAAAGACGGACUUAGUGAUCCGGUGGUUCCGCAUGGAAGGGCCAUCGCUCAACGGAUAAAAGCUACCCCGGGGAUAACAGGCUUAUCUCCCCCAAGAGUUCACAUCGACGGGGAGGUUUGGCACCUCGAUGUCGGCUCAUCGCAUCCUGGGGCUGUAGUCGGUCCCAAGGGUUGGGCUGUUCGCCCAUUAAAGCGGUACGCGAGCUGGGUUCAGAACGUCGUGAGACAGUUCGGUCCCUAUCCGUCGUGGGCGUAGGAAAUUUGAGAGGAGCUGUCCUUAGUACGAGAGGACCGGGAUGGACAUACCUCUGGUGUACCAGUUGUCGUGCCAACGGCAUAGCUGGGUAGCUAUGUGUGGACGGGAUAAGUGCUGAAAGCAUCUAAGCAUGAAGCCCCCCUCAAGAUGAGAUUUCCCAACUUCGGUUAUAAGAUCCCUCAAAGAUGAUGAGGUUAAUAGGUUCGAGGUGGAAGCAUGGUGACAUGUGGAGCUGACGAAUACUAAUCGAUCGAAGACUUAAUCAA